GCCCCACCGGGCCCCGCCCCCACGUGGCCGGGGGUCGCGCCCCUCGGAGGCCGGCGGUCUGCGCCUCGCUGGGCUGCGCCCACGUGGGUCCCGGGCGGCGGACCCCACACCCGGACAGAGCCCGCGGCCUCCUGCCCCUCCCGGGCCGGGGGAGACCUCCCUCUCGCCGUCCGCGAUGCUACCACGUGUCCAUCUUUGAAAAAAACGAGCGCCUAUCUGAACCCCCCCAGGAGCAGAGGCUGCAUUUGAGUGUGUAACGCGCAGCUCCAAGGCAGAUGCCUGAUGACCAGAAAGACUUCUUAGAGUCCUGUUGAAGCUCUUAGCCAAGGUUCUUCUUGGGAUUGCACAUAAAAAAACAAAUGAAAACAGAAGUGGCUUCACCAGUGCUCAGAGCUGUGGUGCCCUGUCCCUUGAUCUGGCACUACGAUUUGUGACAAUUGGAACAGUCUUCUAAUGGGUCCUCGGUAUUCAGAGAUUCAAGCCCAGUGCACUUCAACCGCCAAACUUUUAAGUAAACUGUCAGGCCAAGGGUCCCUCCAGCUAUGUUUUUGGAAUCGACUUUCAGAACCUGAUUACCCAAUUCACCAUUUACCUGCUGGAAGAUGACCCUCUCAGCCUACACUCCACAGGCUCUGCUUUUGGCAAAGAUGCCAGUUACUAUCAUGUGGAGACCACGAGGAAGUUUCAGAAAAGUGUUUUCAAAUACAACCUAGAGGAAGCGGCUUAUGAGAUUGCUGUAUCAUUGCUGCUGGAGAAAAAAAAUCGUGUUAAAUGUGCUUCUUGGCUCCUCCAAAGACAUCAUGAGUCUUCAGUCUCAUCCACGCAGCAUCCUUCCUUGAGGACCCUGGUCAGCGUCCUCCCUAACUGUGCUGCCAGCCCCCACUCACCCAGACCUCACUCCAGCCCCCGACUGGCCAGCCCACCCCUCAGCUGGUGCUGAGGGCAGAGAACCAGUGUCACCUCUCUGACUG
ensembl:lncRNA